rnacentral:RNase_P_RNA from 1 species
AGAGUAGGCGCAGGCGGUUGCAGAUCAGUCAUAGUCACUGGUUUGAGGAAAGUCCGGACUCCCGAAAGACCAGACUUGCUGGAUAACGUCCAGUGCGAGCGAUCGUGAGGAUAGUGCCACAGAAAGAUACCGCCAAAACAAUUUUAGAUUUUAGAUUUUAAAUUUUGGAUUGAAUCUAAAAUCCAAAAUCCAAAAUCCAAAAUUGUUUGGUAAGGGUGCAAAGGUGCGGUAAGAGCGCACCAGCAGCAUCGAGAGGUGCUGGCUCGGUAAACCCCGGUUGGGAGCAAGGCGAUAGGAACUAUGGUUGGUCUUUUACCAGUUCCGCUCAAUGAGAGCCGCUAGAGGCGUCUGGUAACAGGCGUCCCAGAUAGAUAACUGCCCUCGCAAGAGAACAGAACCCGGCUUAUGUCCUGCUCUUUCC